GACGAACGCUGGCGGCGUGCCUAACACAUGCAAGUCCAGCGAAGUUAUUCCUUCGGGGAUAACUUAGCGGCCGACGGGCGAGUACCACGUGGGUAACCCGCCUUAUAGAGGGGGAUAGACUUCCGAAAGGCAGAUUAAUACCGCAUAACAUCAGAUUCUCGCAUGGGGAUUUGAUCAAAGGAGUAAUCCGCUAUAAGAUGGACCCGCGGCGCAUUAGCUAGUUGGUGAGGUAACGGCUCACCAAGGCGACGAUGCGUAGCCGACCUGAGAGGGUGAUCGGCCACAUUGGGACUGGGACACGGCCCAGACUCCUACGGGAGGCAGCAGUGGGGAAUAUUGCACAAUGGGGGAAACCCUGAUGCAGCAACGCCGCGUGAGUGAAGAAAUCCCUCGGGAUGUAAAGCUCUGUUGUGUGGGAAGAUAAUGACGGUACCACACGAGGAAGCCCCGGCAAACUACGUGCCAGCCGCCGCCGUAACAC
rnacentral:rRNA from 1 species